GGAUGUGAGGGCGAUCUGGCUGCGACACUGGCCACCCCAUUGAUUGCCAUGGUUGAUUCCGCUGAUCUGGCUGGCUAGGCGGGUGUCCCCUUCCUCCCUCAACGCUUUAUGUGCGUCCCUCCUGAAGCUGCGCACUGGGUGGCGGAGGACGACAACCCCCGAUAGAGGAGAACCGUUCCUCGGUCCAGGGUCUACGAGUAGCUGCGCUCCCCUGCUAGAACCUCCAAACAAGCUCUUAAAGAAUGGGAGAUCACCAGAUAUCAAUAUUUUUGGAGAAAGAACCUUUCUAGGCAAAAAA
rnacentral:snRNA from 1 species